ensembl:lncRNA
GAUUAUCUUUCUGUUUUUCUGCUAUGCUGGUUCCAAACCCAGGCCAAGCCACAUCCACGGACGCAUUCUCUUCACUCUCUGAAAUCACUUCAAUUACUCAUUGGUUCCCUUAGCCUCUGUCUUCCUGCUCCAGACAUCAGUAUCCUGAGAGCAGGCCUCCACCAUGAUGCUCAUCCAACACACUCAGCCACCUGGAAAGCACCUGGUACCCAGUAAGUGAACCACAAGUAUUAAUCUGGAGCCUCCCUGGGGGGAAAACUCCAGAUUCUUCACUGUUCCUCACUCCCGCCUGCUAUCAGAGGCCUGUUCUGAAAUCUGAUCCUGGGUUGCUACUAAGCACUGUGCAUUGUCCCCCAGGGAAAGGGAGAGAAGCUGAAACCGACUCACUUGAUUAUGGAGGCUAAGAAGAGGAGACCCAAGAAAGCCAGUGAUGUAACUCCAGUCCAAGUCUGAAGACCGGAGAACCAGGAGUGCCUAUGGUAUAAGUCCUGAUCCAAGGACAGGAGGAAUAGGAGCACCACAGGCCUUCCCUGGUGGCUCAACUGUACAGAAUCUGAGAAUCCAUCUGCCAACACAGGAUGCGGACAAUUCCAAGGAUACGUGUAAUUAGGAGAACUUAAUUGAUUUCUUCCAUGGAACUACUGGUCUUAGACACAUGAGCAAGAAAAGAUAAUGAAUCUUUCGAUAGACAGAAUCAUUA